rnacentral:rRNA from 1 species
UACGGAGGGUGCAAGCGUUAUCCGGAUUCACUGGGUUUAAAGGGUGCGUAGGUGGGUUGGUAAGUCAGUGGUGAAAUCUCCGUGCUUAACAUGGAAACUGCCAUUGAUACUACUAGUCUUGAAUUUUCUGGAGGUAAGCGGAAUAUGUCAUGUAGCGGUGAAAUGCUUAGAUAUGACAUAGAACACCAAUUGCGAAGGCAGCUUGCUACAGGAAUAUUGACACUGAUGCACGAAAGCGUGGGGAUCAAACAGG